GAGUUUGAUCAUGGCUCAGAUUGAACGCUGGCGGCAGGCCUAACACAUGCAAGUCGAACGGUAACAGGAAACAGCUUGCUGUUUCGCUGACGAGUGGCGGACGGGUGAGUAAUGUCUGGGAAACUGCCUGAUGGAGGGGGAUAACUACUGGAAACGGUAGCUAAUACCGCAUAACGUCGCAAGACCAAAGAGGGGGACCUUCGGGCCUCUUGCCAUCAGAUGUGCCCAGAUGGGAUUAGCUAGUAGGUGGGGUAACGGCUCACCUAGGCGACGAUCCCUAGCUGGUCUGAGAGGAUGACCAGCCACACUGGAACUGAGACACGGUCCAGACUCCUACGGGAGGCAGCAGUGGGGAAUAUUGCACAAUGGGCGCAAGCCUGAUGCAGCCAUGCCGCGUGUAUGAAGAAGGCCUUCGGGUUGUAAAGUACUUUCAGCGGGGAGGAAGGGAGUAAAGUUAAUACCUUUGCUCAUUGACGUUACCCGCAGAAGAAGCACCGGCUAACUCCGUGCCAGCAGCCGCGGUGAUACGGAGGGUGCAAGCGUUAAUCGGAAUUACUGGGCGUAAAGCGCACGCAGGCGGUUUGUUAAGUCAGAUGUGAAAUCCCCGGGCUCAACCUGGGAACUGCAUCUGAUACUGGCAAGCUUGAGUCUCGUAGAGGGGGGUAGAAUUCCAGGUGUAGCGGUGAAAUGCGUAGAGAUCUGGAGGAAUACCGGUGGCGAAGGCGGCCCCCUGGACGAAGACUGACGCUCAGGUGCGAAAGCGUGGGGAGCAAACAGGAUUAGAUACCCUGGUAGUCCACGUCGUAAACGAUGUCGACUUGGAGGUUGUGCCCUUGAGGCGUGGCUUCCGGAGCUAACGCGUUAAGUCGACCGCCUGGGGAGUACGGCCGCAAGGUUAAAACUCAAAUGAAUUGACGGGGGCCCGCACAAGCGGUGGAGCAUGUGGUUUAAUUCGAUGCAACGCGAAGAACCUUACCUGGUCUUGACAUCCACGGAAGUUUUCAGAGAUGAGAAUGUGCCUUCGGGAACCGUGAGACAGGUGCUGCAUGGCUGUCGUCAGCUCGUGUUGUGAAAUGUUGGGUUAAGUCCCGCAACGAGCGCAACCCUUAUCCUUUGUUGCCAGCGGUCCGGCCGGGAACUCAAAGGAGACUGCCAGUGAUAAACUGGAGGAAGGUGGGGAUGACGUCAAGUCAUCAUGGCCCUUACGACCAGGGCUACACACGUGCUACAAUGGCGCAUACAAAGAGAAGCGACCUCGCGAGAGCAAGCGGACCUCAUAAAGUGCGUCGUAGUCCGGAUUGGAGUCUGCAACUCGACUCCAUGAAGUCGGAAUCGCUAGUAAUCGUGGAUCAGAAUGCCACGGUGAAUACGUUCCCGGGCCUUGUACACACCGCCCGUCACACCAUGGGAGUGGGUUGCAAAAGAAGUAGGUAGCUUAACCUUCGGGAGGGCGCUUACCACUUUGUGAUUCAUGACUGGGGUGAAGUCGUAACAAGGUAACCGUAGGGGAACCUGCGGUUG
rnacentral:rRNA from 1 species